CUUUGUGCGCUUGAACUCUUCGUUGCUGCCUUCUCAUGUAGUUGGUUUAGGACGCUUUAGUAAUUCUGCUUCCGAGAAAGGUUGUUAGCAGGUUGGUCACGACCGCCCUAUCAUGCGGAAAUUUUAGAAAUAAAUAGAAGCUAUCUCGUUUAAGUAAGUUUUUAUUGUUGCUGUGAAAUAUUUUCAUCAAAUGAUGAAAGUAAAGACGGGCGGACUGAAAACUUCGUUUAUUUAGAUUGACAGAGUUACUUUUAUUUGAAUUGGUCUAACCAUUGAGCGUGAAGUUAGCUAGCGGCCUAGAAGGAAUUUGAGUAAUUUUAAAAGUUUUGACUUUUGGUUGAGUUUCUCGCCUGAAAACUUAGAAAAAGGAGUGACCAUUAUAUUUUUUGGAUUUAGUUUUUUAGAAACCUAAACCUA